UGAGAUUCCCUCAGGUGGAAGGGGGGUCACUGGAGGCAGAACACUGGGGUUAACACGUCCAUAGGAUUGAUCCGAGCUAGUGAGGACCUCAGAGAGCAGAUGAGGUUACUGAGGCCUCAGAGGGAAAUGACCUACCCAGGGUGCCGCAGGGAGGAAAUGUCAGUAAAGUCUUGCAGCCUGUUCUCUGGCUCUGUCCUUUACACUGGGUGGUGCUUUUCUUCAGGUGACACUGUUCCAUUUCCUGGCCUCUGUUUGAGUCUGUCCUCCAGUGCCUGUGCCAAGGUUGACCUUGAUUUUUCCUUUUGUCACUGGCUAGUUUGUCCCAAGAAGACUCCCAGGAGAAAAGGCCAAAGGAGAUGGGUUCCCUGGAGGCCCAGCUGGCUGGCCUGAGGCAGGAGCUGGCGGCCGUCAGCCAAAGACAAGCUGCAGUGGCCAAAGAAAUACACCUUUGGCGAGAAAAGAUGGUGGCCCUGUGCAGUGACGUGGCCUGGCCCAUGAGUCAUGAAUGCCUAUCUUUUAGGAAGUGCAUAAGAUCAUGCAGCAGGCCCUGAAACUCUACAGUGAAGAUCACAUUGAACUGGUGGAUUAUGCCCUGGAGUCCUCAGGGGCCAGCAUCCUCAGUAGCCAAAGCUUAGAGACCUAUGGCACCAGGAUGUCUGUUAUCAGUCUGUUUGGCAUAACCUUGUGGUACCAUUUCCAGAUCCAAAGAGCCAUCCACCAGCCAAAUGUCUACCCUGGCAAGUGCUGGGCAUUUCAGGGCUCCCAGGGCUCCACCUCAUUGCUGUCACCUUGGAGCAUGUGCCCAAAGCCCUGUACCUAAUCAGCAAACAUCACCAGCACUCCCAAAGGCUUUGUCAUCUUGGUGAGUACCUGGACCUUGCAGUUCUUUCUAAAACCGAGGAAAGCCCUUUCUUAACAGCAGCGUUUCGAGGUGAGGAAUGGAAGGAUCUGCCCAUCGUGCAGACGGGACAUCGAGUUUCUUCUCUUGACUCUUUGGGGCCAGCCCUUCUGCUCCUCCCCCUGUUCUUAGGAAGGAGCCAGGAAAAGACAAUGACAGCAGCAAGAACAGCCAAGAUUGUAAUUUGUCUUAGAGUUGGGAAGGGAAGGGGAUCACCUUUUCCUACACAGUCAUCUACUGAGAAGAGAGAUGGAACAUCUACGUAAGGUGGAAUUGGGAGAAAAGAUGGAGCUAGAAGAGGUCAAAUAUGCAAGGGAGAGAGGGAGGUAGUUCCCAGGUGCCUGGCCAGCACACCAACUUCAAGAAGAGUUCCCUCAGGUAAGAAGAGCCAGAGGGAGCCCAAGCCACCUUCUCCAUCACAACUGCCCAUGGCAACCAAGGGCUUCUGCCGCUGCCAUGUGUGCAUUUCUUUCCUGCCUCCAUUUUUGAGUGGAGACAUCACUCUUUUGCUUUCUUUUCCCACAAAGGUGAGAAUUUCCUGUCCUUAGCACUAUCUCUCCCCCUUCUACCAUAACCUGGGUUGCUGAUGCCUUCACUCUCUGAGAACAGGAACUAGGGAGGGUCAACAUGAGUCUCAGAGAAGGCCUGGAACACUGAGGCCUGAAGCUGGGCAUGGACAACCCCUCUCAGCCAUGUUUCUCUUUUAACUAGCCCCAGGGCCCAUGGUUCUUAGAGCGAGCCGCAUGGCCCAGCAACAGCGCAGGGAGCCUCUUGGGUGAAAUGCCUGUGAGUGACGAGACAGAUUUAGCUGACUCUUAGCUCCUCUCAUACCUCAUCAUGGUGGUUUAAUUUGGAAAGAGGCCCUCCUUGGCUCAGGGUACCUCUGGCUUUUUUGAAUCCUGAACCCAAAGUUAAAAACAAAACAAAACAAAAGAAAAACAAACAAUAACAACAACAAAAAAAAAACAAAACUCUUCAUCUGUUUAAGGAAUAAGAACAGGAACAGAGGGCUCUGGGUAUCAUUUCUUUUCACCCCAGAAGUCUCCAGGAAAGUCUCAUUCAAAUCCUGUCCUUCCCCUCUCCCUAUCUUUUCCCCCCUUCUUCUUUUUCACUCUCUUAUCUUUGCUUCUCAUGCUUGGUAACCCCUAUGACGCUGAGGAGAAAAUCCAGAAGUGGGAAAUGCCUCUCACCAGCUGCUCACCUGGACAAAGUCACCUAUAACAUCUCUGAAUGCUCCUCAAGAUACUUCUCUGAGGAUGACUGUGCAGGUUGGCUCUUUCACCUGUUCCACUGCUGCUUCAGAAAUACCUGGUACCACCUGACCACAGCUGCCUCCCUGCAGGACCUCUUUGUCUUAAUCAGGUGCCUAGGAGCCAGCCCUGUGGACUCAUGAUCCAUUUGAUGAUCCACUGUGAAUUCUGACAGUUUCUCAAGCCUCUAGCCCUCAACAGAGCUUUCUGAGACCAGAUGUUUGGGGCAUACGAUGCUCUUGCACCUUAGAGCCCAGUGCUGACACCAAGGGAACACAAAGUGACCAGAUGAGGAAUGUCUGAAGGGUGGGAGGUGAGAAAGGGAGUGAAUGGGAGGUGGAGGUCACCAAUCAAAAUGCUAGCAAGGGAGAGAAGGCUAGAAAGAGACUAGGGCUGAAGAAGGACCUAGCGAUGGAAUGGAUGACAUCUUCUCAUAGGCAGACUUCAGUUUCUCACCUAUCCUGGGAAGGCCCAUAGCAAGAGCAGGUCCUGCUCAGAGGUGGGACAAUAACAGCUCCCAAGCAGAAGGUAGAGACAAGGGAAGUGGAGAAAUUUUCAGAUCGGUUUUUGUCUUUGUGGUUUCCAGCAGGUCAUAUUGCAUUUACUUCAUGAAAAAAGCUUUAGAAUAUAAUGAAUGUCAUAAAAAAUUAAGAGUGGCCCUAACAACUGGUAUCAGAGUAAACCUUGGGAUCACUGAUCCUUUCCAAAGGACAAGAGCAACUUUCUGCCCUGGUACAUUUGCUAUAGCAAACCAAUUUACUUUGGAAAUGAGUUUUCCUCCUAGGAUUAAUGCCGGCAUCAUUAUUGGAGGGAAGCUAAAUUAUCUCCCGUCUUCAGGAGAUACUCAAAAGAAAGCAAACAGGCAACAGCAAAGUAGAGUCCUAAAAUGAACACAGACUCCACUUCAGUGCCUGCCGAGUCCCUUAUCCAUCUGCCACACACCUGAAAACCAGUCCCCUUGCUUCAUGGUCAUGCGUUGGACAAGAUAAAACCAUCUCCUGAGCACUCAUUUUCUGCCCAGAGAACUGCUCAGGGAAGACUACCUACCUCUUCCUGCUGUUUGACCCAAGCACAGUAGGUCUUAGAGAGGGCAGAGAUGGCACGCCUGCUAUUGUACCGUGGCUUUCCACUGCAGAAGUCAGAAGGCAAAGGUUUCAUAGCCUGCAAGGACAACAGACUUCCUGGUGUGGGUAACAUACAUCCACCAAGUAGCUUACCUACAAUUAAAAAAUAGAAAAAAAAAACUGCUACAGGCAUCCUACAUCGAUGGCCAGUAGCUGGCCUUCUGUUACUGGAACCCUGAUAGUUGCUAGGUACCAUCUGCUGGAAUAUUCCAAGGUCAUGAGGCUCUCCCAAGCCAGGCAGUCAAGCCAAAGCCUUGGAGGAUGACAGCAUCUGUCACUGAACACUGGGGUAAAUACAAGAUUUCUUCAUUCCUUCCUGAGAUUGUCCAGAAUGAGCCCCACAACCCAGCCAGGCUGCCAGGAGCCCGAAGAGCUUACAGCAGAGCCUCUGGUUGGCCCUGACUGAGCUGCCAGCAACAAAAGACUAAGGACCUCCCAGAGUUCUCACUCCCUGUAAGAUCAGAGCUGCCUCAGAGCCCUAGACCUGGGCACUGCAUAGCCAGGGAGGACCAUUCUCUGGGCAGCCUAGCCUGGCCUGACCCCCUAGGAGCCACAGCAUCUGGCUUUAGAAGGGCUGGGACCAUGGGAAGAAAGAAGCACAGAAACACUAUGGGUGAAGCCAGGACUUGUUCCCUCUUAUUUCAAACAGCAUUUUGAAAAUGCUGUUCAUAUAUAUGUUCUUUGAUGCUGGGAUACCACUUAGAUCCCAAAGAGAUCAAAUACAAAGUGAAGAAUUUUAAUUCUAAUAAACAGCAGUACUUGCCUAUAUGACAAGUUAGUUUUCUAUGCAUAACUGAUUGUUAUUUCCCUCUUUGAGCAAAAUUCGAUGAGAGUAAAGUUCAAACAAUGCUCAUCUCCCUCCCUUCUUUCCCUCUAAUGUAAUAUGUCUUUGUGUCU